ensembl:scaRNA SCARNA6 small Cajal body-specific RNA 6
GGUCAAUGAUGUGAUUUUUAAAAGGUCUGAAAUCCAGGUCUCCUCCCAGUCCUUCCACCUCUCCCAGCAGCCCCUCUUCAUUUUUCCCAGCAUGCUCUAGUUGUGCAUUACUGGUUCGAGGUGGUAGCUGAUUCUUUGGAUGUUUAUGCUGAUUAAGAGUCUUCUAGAGAACCAAGUGAGACCUCGACAGCAGCAUCCAACAGAACUACAACACAAAGGAGGGCUGGACAGGAGGAGAACGUUUAAAUUGGUGCAUGAUCUCAAGUUUUCAAGCUGAGACC